rnacentral:rRNA from 1 species
UACGAAGGGGGCUAGCGUUGCUCGGAAUCACUGGGCGUAGAGCGCACGUAGGCGGAUCUUUAAGUCAGGGGUGAAAUCCUGGAGCUCAACUCCAGAACUGCCUUUGAUACUGGGGAUCUCGAGUCCGGAAGAGGUGAGUGGAACUCCGAGUGUAGAGGUGAAAUUCGUAGAUAUUCGCAAGAACACCAGUGGCGAAGGCGGCUCACUGGACCGGAACUGACGCUGAGGCGCGAAAGCGUGGGGAGCAAACAGG